rnacentral:rRNA from 1 species
AGUUAGUAGUGGCAGGCGGCGGGGGGAAGACGAAGGGGGUGAGUGUUAAUCGGAAUUGAUGGGCGUGAAGAGUGGGUAGGCGGGGCUUUAAGUCGGCUCGCAAAGCCCCGGUCUCAACCUGGGAUGGGCAGUGGGUAGUGGGGGGAUAGAGUGUGGUAGAGGAUGGUGGAAUUACCGGUGUAGCGGUGAAAUGCGUAGAGGUCGGGAGGAACAUCAGUGGCGAAGGCGGCCAUCUGGAUCAACACUGACGCUGAGGCACGAAAGCGUGGGGAGCAAACAGGAUUAGAUACCCGAGUAGUC